rnacentral:lncRNA from 1 species
UCUACUAUAAGGCUGGCUACUCUACUGUAAUACACCAUACAGUAAGACUGGCUACUCUACUGUAAUACACCAUACAGUAAGACUGGCUACUCUACUGUAAUACACCAUACAGUAAGACUUGCUACUCUACUGUAAUACACCAUACAGUAAGACUUGCUACUCUACUGUAAUACACCAUACAGUAAGGCUGACUACUCUACUGUAAUACACCAUACAGUAAGACUUGCUACUCUACUGUAAUACACCAUACAGUAAGGCUGGCUACUCUACUGUAAUACACCAUACAGUAAGACUUGCUACUCUACUAUAAUACACCAUACAGUAAGACUGGCUACUCUACUGUAAUACACCAUACAGUAAGACUGGCUACUCUACUGUAAACACACAGUCCAGUUCAUAGUGAAUGAUGGCAGGCCCUACUGCCUGUAAACACACAGUCCAGUUCAUAGUGAAUGAUGACAGGUCCUACUGCCUGUAAACACAGUCCAGUUCAUAGUGAAUGAUGGCAGGUCCUACUGCCUGUAAACACAGUCCAGUUCAUAGUGAAUGAUGGCAGGUCCUACUGCCUGUAAACACACAGUCCAGUUCAUAGUGAAUGAUGGCAGGUCCUACUGCCUGUAAACACACAGUCCAGUUCAUAGUGAAUGAUGGCAGGUCCUACUGCCUGUAAACACACAGUCCAGUUCAUAGUGAAUGAUGGCAGGUCCUACUGCCUGUAAACACACAGUCCAGUUCAUAGUGAAUGAUGGCAGGUCCUACUGCCUGUAAACACACAGUCCAGUUCAUAGUGAAUGAUAACAGGUCCUACUGCCUGUAAACACACAGUCCAGUUCAUAGUGAAUGAUGGCAGGUCCUACUGCCUGUAAACACACAGUCCAGUUCAUAGUGAAUGAUGGCAGGUCCUACUGCCUGUAAACACACAGUCCAGUUCAUAGUGAAUGAUGACAGGUCCUACUGCCUGUAAACACAGUCCAGUUCAUAGUGAAUUAUGACAGGCCCUACUGCCUGUAAACACACAGUCCAGUUCAUAGUGAAUGAUGGCAGGUCCUACUGCCUGUAAACACACAGUCCAGUUCAUAGUGAAUGAUGACAGGCUUGUGUGGCAUAUGGCUAAUUUGCAUAUAGACCUACUGUAGCUCUGAUUGGCUAUGAACCACCGGUCUGCAGUAGACUCCGGUCCUGGACGAGACAGAUAUUUUUAUUAAGGUUUAUUUACUGCAGUGUCUUAAUUGUCCAAACGCACGACCACUUUCUCACUCUACAUUCACAAAACCUUACUCUACGUCAUUCCCAAACACUCUAUGAAUUUAUGAAAAGGUUAAAAUGACCAUAUCUAAGUGCUCGCUUGACAGAAAAUAUUAAAAACAGGUGUCGUAGUCUUCCUGGGGUUGUACACGAACACAUUUUAAUAAGAUUUCAUGUAGGAGAGAAG